AGCCCCCCUCAAGAUGAGAUUUCCCAAUUAGUAAGACCCCUUGAAGACGACGAGGUAGAUAGGUUGGAGGUGGAAGCACAGCAAUGUGUGGAGCUGACCAAUACUAAUCGGUCGAGGGCUUGACCUAUA
rnacentral:rRNA from 1 species